rnacentral:rRNA from 1 species
AUACAGGGUGACAGCCCCGUACACAAAAAUGCACAUAUUGUGAGCUUGAUGAGUAGGGCGGGACACGUGGUAUCCUGUCUGAAUAUGGGGGGACCAUCCUCCAAGGCUAAAUACUCCUGACUGACCGAUAGUGAACCAGUACCGUGAGGGAAAGGCGAAAAGAACCCCGGCGAGGGGAGUGAAAAAGAACCUGAAACCGUGUACGUACAAGCAGUGGGAGCACGCUUAGGCGUGUGACUGCGUACCUUUUGUAUAAUGGGUCAGCGACUUAUAUUCUGUAGCAAGGUUAACCGAAUAGGGGAGCCGAAGGGAAACCGAGUCUUAACUGGGCGUUAAGUUGCAGGGUAUAGACCCGAAACCCGGUGAUCUAGCCAUGGGCAGGUUGAAGGUUGGGUAACACUAACUGGAGGACCGAACCGACUAAUGUUGAAAAAUUAGCGGAUGACUUGUGGCUGGGGGUGAAAGGCCAAUCAAACCGGGAGAUAGCUGGUUCUCCCCGAAAGCUAUUUAGGUAGCGCCUCGUGAAUUCAUCUCCGGGGGUAGAGCACUGUUUCGGCAAGGGGGUCAUCCCGACUUACCAACCCGAUGCAAACUGCGAAUACCGGAG